CCUACGGGGGGCUGCAGUGGGGAAUAUUGGACAAUGGGGGGAACCCUGAUCCAGCCAUGCCGCGUGUGUGAAGAAGGCCCUCGGGUUGUAAAGCACUUUCAGUGAGGAAGAACGCCUGGUGGUUAAUACCCAUCAGGAAAGACAUCACUCACAGAAGAAGCACCGGCUAACUCCGUGCCAGCAGCCGCGGUAAUACGGAGGGUGCGAGCGUUAAUCGGAAUUACUGGGCGUAAAGCGCGCGUAGGUGGCUUGAUAAGCCGGUUGUGAAAGCCCCGGGCUCAACCUGGGAACGGCAUCCGGAACUGUCAAGCUAGAGUGCAGGAGAGGAAGGUAGAAUUCCCGGUGUAGAGGUGAAAUGCGUAGAGAUCGGGAGGAAUACCAGUGGCGAAGGCGGCCUUCUGGACUGACACUGACACUGAGGUGCGAAAGCGUGGGUAGCAAACAGGAUUAGAUACCCGGGUAGUC
rnacentral:rRNA from 1 species